AUGAAGCUAACUGCCUGCCCUGGGAAUGUUGAUGCUUCAUUCUGUGAAGAGGAACACUCAGGUUCUUGUGGCGCUAUUGUUCGGGACCACCGAGGUAAUUUUAUCAUAGCAUCCACGUCUAAACUCCAGCAUGUGGCCGACAUUAUUACUGCGGAAACAGCUGCGUUGCAAGAAGGGAUCAAACUUAUUCAAAGUAUUGGAAGCAACCAUGUCCUGGUAAGAAUGGACAAUGUCACCAUGGUGGAAGCUUUGAGGCACAACGAAGGUCAUUCUAUGGUAGCAGCUCCUCUCCUCGAGGGCUGCAGAAUGUUACUUAGAGAAAUCGGGAAGAGGUUACUAUCGAGCAUUGUAAUAGAGAGUCGAUCGAACGUAGUUGCUCAUGAGCUAGCAAAGUGGGGACGUGCAAACAAUCCAUCCUUGUGGGUAGAUGCACCCCCGAUUUUAUUUCUAUAUCUUUAG
rnacentral:rRNA from 1 species